UAGCAUAAAAUCCCAUGAAGGAAUAACGGACAAAGGGAAGAAGGAUUUUGUGACUUGGGGAUAUUUAAUGUUAAAUGGUUUUCCAAAAGAGCUGAACCAGUUUACACAGCUGCUGAAACAGGUGACAUGAGAGCCUUUGGAAAUGAAGACCCAAAGAAAUGAAGAAAUCUGUAUAUUUGUAAGGACACAGUCAUCUGCAGGGCGCUAAGUAUACGAUCCUGGGAACAUGAUGUGAAAAAUCAGGAACCUGCAGCUGAACCAGCGUAGCCAUUGAGAAGUGGCCCCUUUCCUCGGAAAAGCCCAGAAGUGUUUCAAGUGGUGACCAGCAGAGGGCAGCAGUAUCCACCGCUUCCCGCAGAGCACGGCGUGCGGAGGUAGACUGUCUUCCGGUCCCACCCGGAGAUGGGGAAUUCUAGGCCAGGUAGUGAGUGGCUCAAAUUGGCUA
rnacentral:lncRNA from 1 species